rnacentral:rRNA from 1 species
GAUGAACGCUGGCGGCGUGCCUAAUACAUGCAAGUCGAGCGAACAGACUAGGAGCUUGCUCCUCUGACGUUAGCGGCGGACGGGUGAGUAACACGUGGAUAACCUACCUAUAAGACUGGGAUAACUUCUGGAAACCGGAGCUAAUACCGGAUAAUAUCUUUAACCGCAUGGUUCAAUAUUGAAAGACGGUUUUGCUUUCACUUAUAGAUGUAUCCGCUCCGCAUUAGCUAGUUGGUAAGGUAACGGCUUACCAAGGCGACGAUGCGUAGCCGACCUGAGAGGGGGAUCGGCAACACUGGAACUGAGAAACGGUCCAGACUCCUACGGGAGGAAGCAGUAGGGAAUCUUCCGCAAUGGGGGAAAGCCUGACGGAGCAACGCCGCGUGAGGGAGGAAGGUCUUCGGAUCGUAAAACUCUGUUAUUAGGGAAGAACAAAUGUGUAAGUAACUAUGCACGUCUUGACGGUACCUAAUCAGAAAGCCACGGCUAACUACGUG